rnacentral:rRNA from 1 species
CAGCCGCCGCGGUAAAACCGAGGGUGCAAGCGUUAAUCGGAAUUACUGGGCGUAAAGCGCACGCAGGCGGUUUGUUAAGUCAGAUGUGAAAUCCCCGAGCUUAACUUGGGAACUGCAUUUGAAACUGGCAAGCUAGAGUCUUGUAGAGGGGGGUAGAAUUCCAGGUGUAGCGGUGAAAUGCGUAGAGAUCUGGAGGAAUACCGGUGGCGAAGGCGGCCCCCUGGACAAAGACUGACGCUCAGGUGCGAAAGCGUGGGGAGCAAACAGGAUUAGAGACCCCAGUAGUCCCUGUCUCUUAUAC